UGGGGAAUAUUGCACAAUGGGGGAAACCCUGAUGCAGCGACGCCGCGUGAGUGAAGAAGUAUUUCGGUAUGUAAAGCUCUAUCAGCAAGGAAGAAAAAGGGAGUAAUCCCAAGACGGUACUUGACUAAGAAGCCCCGGCUAACUACGUGCCAGCAGCCGCGGUAAUACGUAGGGGGCAAGCGUUAUCCGGAUUUACUGGGUGUAAAGGGAGCGUAGACGGCAUAGCAAGUCAGAAGUGAAAGCCCGGGGCUCAACCCCGGGACUGCUUUUGAAACUGCAGUGCUAGAGUGCAGGAGAGGUAAGUGGAAUUCCUAGUGUAGCGGUGAAAUGCGUAGAUAUUAGGAGGAACACCAGUGGCGAAGGCGGCUUACUGGACUGUAACUGACGUUGAGGCUCGAAAGCGUGGGGAGCAAACAGGAUUAGAUACCCCCGUAGUCC
rnacentral:rRNA from 1 species